rnacentral:rRNA from 1 species
AGGAUAAACGCUGGCGGCGUGCCUAACACAUGCAAGUCGAACGCUCUCUGGCAACAGAGGGAGUGGCGGACGGGUGAGUAACACGUGGGUACCUACCCCAAGGUGAGGAAUACCGGCGAGAAAUCGCUGACAAUACCGCAUACGUUUCUCGCAAGAGAAACAAAGCUCGCAAGAGCGCCAUGGGAAGGGCCUGCGGCCGAUUAGCUAGUUGGUGGGGUAAGAGCUUACCAAGGCGACGAUCGGUAGCUGGUCUGAGAGGAUGGUCAGCCACACUGGGAUUGAGAACGGCCCAGACUCCUACGGGGGGCAGCAGUGAGGAAUUUUCGUCAAUGGGGGCAACCCUGAACGAGCAACGCCGCGUGCAGGAAGAAGGUUUUCGGAUCGUAAACUGCUUUUCUCUGGGACGAGAACGGACGGUACCAGAGGAAGAAGCCCCGGCUAACUACGUGCCAGCAGCCGCGGUAAUACGUAGGGGGCAAGCGUUGUCCGGAUUUAUUGGGCGUAAAGCGCGCGCAGGCGGUCUGCCAAGUUCGGAGUGACAGUUUCCGGCUUAACCGGAAAAGGUCUUCGAAAACUGGUGGACUUGAGGACAUGAGGGGGAGACGGAAUUCCGGGUGGAGCGGUGAAAUGCGUAGAGAU